UCCUCCGCUUAUUGAUAUGCUUAAGUUCA
rnacentral:rRNA from 3 species